rnacentral:snRNA from 1 species
GUGUUCGCUUUGGCAGCACACAUACUAAGAAUUGAAACUGUACAGAGAAGAUGAUUAUGGCCCCCAUGCAGGGAUGACAGGCAAAUUCGUGAAGCGUUCUAUAUUUUA